GACGAACCGUACGAACGUUAUUCGGAAUCACUGGGCUUAAAGGGUGCGUAGGCGGCGGCGCAAGUUGGGUGUGAAAGCCCCCGGCUCAACUGGGGAGGGUCACGCGAUACUGCUCGACUUGAAGGCAGGAGAGGGAAGUGGAAUUCCCGGUGUAGUGGUGAAAUGCGUAGAUAUCGGGAGGAACACCAGUGGCGAAGGCGACUUCCUGGCCUGUUCUUGACGCUGAGGCGCGAAAGCUAGGGUAGCAAACGGG
rnacentral:rRNA from 1 species